AGUGAACGCUGGCGGUAGGCCUAACACAUGCAAGUCGAACGGCAGCACAGUAAGAGCUUGCUCUUACGGGUGGCGAGUGGCGGACGGGUGAGGAAUACAUCGGAAUCUACUUUUUCGUGGGGGAUAACGUAGGGAAACUUACGCUAAUACCGCAUACGACCUACGGGUGAAAGCAGGGGAUCUUCGGAACUUGCGCGAUUGAAUGAGCCGAUGUCGGAUUAGCUAGUUGGCGGGGUAAAGGCCCACCAAGGCGACGAUCCGUAGCUGGUCUGAGAGGAUGAUCGGCCACACUGGAACUGAGACACGGUCCAGACUCCUACGGGAGGCAGCAGUGGGGAAUAUUGGACAAUGGGCGCAAGCCUGAUCCAGCCAUACCGCGUGGGUGAAGAAGGCCUUCGGGUUGUAAAGCCCUUUUGUUGGGAAAGAAAAGCAGCAGGUUAAUACCCCGCUGUUCUGACGGUACCCAAAGAAUAAGCACCGGCUAACUUCGUG
rnacentral:rRNA from 1 species